AUGUCACAUUCCGUAAAAAUUUACGAUACAUGUAUAGGAUGCACUCAAUGUGUACGAGCUUGUCCAACAGAUGUAUUAGAAAUGAUACCCUGGGAUGUAUGUAAAGCCAAGCAAAUUGCUUCCGCGCCGAGAACCGAAGAUUGUGUGGGUUGUAAGAGAUGUGAAUCUGCCUGCCCGACAGAUUUUUUUAAGUGUCCGCGUUUAUUUAGGGCCUGA
rnacentral:rRNA from 1 species